GACGAACCAAGCAAACGUUGUUCGGAAUCACUGGGCUUAAAGGGCGCGUAGGCGGUCUCUCAAGUCCAGGGUGAAAUCUUUCGGCUUAACCGGAAAAUUGCCUUGGAUACUGUGGGGCUAGAGGGAGGUAGGGGUCACGGGAACAUCCGGUGGAGCGGUGAAAUGCGUUGAUAUCGGAUGGAACGCCGGUGGCGAAAGCGCGUGACUGGACCUUUUCUGACGCUGAGGCGCGAAAGCCAGGGUAGCGAACGGG
rnacentral:rRNA from 1 species